GUAUAGCUAGUUGAACUUUUG
rnacentral:siRNA from 1 species